rnacentral:ncRNA from 1 species
AAAUAUCGCUGGGGGAGCCGAUUGCAGGCUGAGAUGGGCAAAGCCCGGACCCUUUGAACCUGAACUAGCUAAAACCAGCGUAGGAAAGUGCGGCAUUGAUACA